AAGACUAUACUUUCAGGGAUCAUUUCUAUAGUUUGUUACUAGAGAAGUCUCAAAAACCAUAACUCAAAAAGAGU
ensembl:snoRNA U3 Small nucleolar RNA U3